rnacentral:lncRNA from 1 species
GCAGGAUGGACGCGUUGGCUGUCAUGAUGUAGGACCUCCUGACCUAGAACCAUGCCCGGCGCAGGGAGAACAACGAGCUUACGGACCGGGUGCGGGGGCUGCUGUGCGAGAAAGCCUACCUGCUGGCCCGGGAGCGUUCGCCGGCCCACCUGGUGGCUUUCCCUGGACGUUUAACGGCGACUCCGCCCGGCCUCCCGACUUUUUGAUGCAGGCGUUCUCUUACAUGACUUUCUUCGAGGCUAGAUUCUCGAAAGACAUCCUGAAGGUGGCUUUCUUAAUUAGCUGCCUCACCGGCUGGCGGAGCAGUUCGUAGUCGCCUACAUCGAGAGGGAGAGCCCCGUCCUGGCUCAGUACUGGGGCUUCGUGGACGCGCUGUAGCGGGUCUUCGCCGUCGUGGGUAGGAAACAGUCGGGCCGGAUCCCCGGUGUCUGGGGAGCGGCUGCCGGCCGGGCCCGCGCGAGCCGCUUCACUCCUACAAGCCCGGCUCACUAGUUCCAAGCUGCUGGACUUUGACCCUCGCUGGGAAGCUUGAUCGCCGCCUGUUCUCGCCAAUCUCUAUGCCUUUGCACUGCCCAGCAACCCGGUCACUGCCCAGGACCUGUUAAAAGUUGAAUGGACCUCCCAGAAUCACGCCGCUGCCACCGCCGUUUCUAGAGACGGCUUUUGGCCACCUUUGAGAAUCAGGGUCAAACUUGGAAGGGCCUGCAUUUGUCACACUUCCUCGGACACUAAUUUGGAUAGUUCAGGCCCAGAGACGGCUUCCCGGGUUAGUGUGCCUGACAACACUGAAGAAAAAUUGUGACAUUUUCCUUCCCCAGAAUUACUUCGUUUUAUACAUUUCACUUCUCUUCUGAAAUCACAGCAAUGCCAGUUUGCGCCUUUUGGUCUGAGGAACGCAGGCCCUGGCCACUACCAGGAAAAAGUAUUUACUUUUAAAACUUGAAUGUAUAUCUUUACCGUAUGCCUAGUACAGUAGUGCUUGGAAGAAACAGAUUAGUAAGACAAAAUAUAUGUCUUCAAGAACACUUACGUUCUGAGAAAGAAUUCUGAAUGCAGAUUCUAAUGUCUGGUAAAAUGCUUUACAGUGUAAAGAAUGCAUAUAUGAUUCUUAUUUUAUGGCAUUUUAAACUUUCCACCCCACGGUUUUAAAGUGUUAAUAUAUGUUAAAAAUAUAUGCAAUUUAUAAAGGAGAAGGAAAGCCCAGCUUGAUUUUUGCUGCCAAAGAUGGUAUAUUUAAAAUUAAACGUAACUAAUGGCAAAAAAUAAUGGGAAUGGUGCAGUCUUUGAGCUGUAUCCAGUUGGCAUUAUUCUCUUGGACUAAAAGGAAUAGUAUUAACUUCCUCACUUUGGGUAAGCCACUUUAGAUUUUUGGGCUGCAGUUUUCUCAGGUAAUUAGAGACUUUAUAUUAUGAAAGUUUGGUUCACAAUUCUUUGAGUCUCUUUUGGGAACAAAGAAGGUAAGAGGAGGAUAUGUGCCCUCCUCUCAAUCAAGGGGUUUCUUGAAACCCUCUAAGGAGAAAAAUCUGAAACUGCCUUUCCUAAAACGUUCAUGGGUUUGUCAUUCUGAUGAUCAAUAUCGUCCCACUGAAGUAUCUUUUUGAAUUCCUAGUUAGGAAUCUUUAUGUUAAGAUAAACUGAUCACUCUCUCCUUCGUGGACAGUUUAUCUACCUAAAGAUGAUAGGGGAAAACACUGUUUUUGAAAGACGAAAUAAAGACAUGUUGUAGCAGUUAUUUUAUUGCCAGUUAGUAUUACAAAAGUUCCUAAGGAACUCCCCAUUAACUUGGCCUCAUAUGAACUACGCUUGAGUCCCGUUUUAAAUUGAGUCUUGAUCGUAUUUACUGACAGUUUCAAAGCAGCGUUUUUUUUUUUCCUCCAUAGUAAAAAACCUACAGGAUACCACCACCAAAGGAAAAAACAAGUUUUUUUCAGUAAACCUCACAAGAGCAUACAUUUGAUAGAAUACACGGAUUUUCUAAUGAAAGCUCGCCGUCACCAUUUUAUAAGUCAGAACAUGAAAGUCAAAAUAUCUCAUACAGAUGUCUUUUUUUUUUGAGAAGGUACACAAGGCUUGCUUGUAGAGAUGGAGUUACAUGGAGGGACAGAAGGUCACUGGUCAGUGAUUUUAGGUUUUUAUACUUCUGAAAACAGGUAAUUACAGAUUCUGAUCAGUUUAUCAUUUUCUUUAGUCUUUUAUUUUCUGCUGAAUGCUCUCAAGGGAACGGAUCCAUACCUGUUUAUCAGGCUCACCUGGAAGAGCCAAGUCAUCCACUCAGGUCUUCCUCUGGACCUGCAUAAUUUCCUCAUUUACUAGAUUGGGUUUCUUUUAUGUGUGGGCUUUUAAUGCUUGGUAUCUCUGGUCUUCCUAAUAUGUAAUGCUUAGCAUAAUAAUUUUAGCCAUUAUUCAUUUUUGUAGUAGGCUUCACUAGCUUCCUGCUUCUCAAAUCCCUUGAAAAGAUGAGAUUUUUUUUUCGUGGAGUUCACGUCUAGUAAGUUGGUCUUGAUUUUUUUUUUCUUUCAGAACCUUCUGGAUUUCAGCUUUGGCAAGCUUCCUCUGUUUCUGAGACACCUCCAUCACCUGGGUUACAAUCCCAUCCAUGAUUUUCCCCAUCUCCAGGCAUUUUUCAUGGAAAGCUCCUCAUGCUUUUUAAUUCCAGUUUAUCCAUUUGUGUGGCUUUAACCUCCACAUCCAGGUCUUUCUGGCUAAACUGCAGUAUAUCCACAAUGGGGCCAAUGGACACAUAAGGGAGGCCCUAUCACAGGAACACGAACACCCGGAGUCGCUAGAAAUCAGAUUCCACCGGCUUUGCUUCAGGCCGACUUCCUAAGGAAGGCAUGGUAGCAUCACAGAUGCUGUUUGUCUCAGUUUCCUGAGAAGCCAGUUUCUUAGAGCUGUCAUUCAAGAGUGGGUCAAAUUUGAGAUAUAAAAACCUUUCUCAAGGUAGACUCUUUGGCCCCUAUGCCUAGUAUGUCAGCUGGGCCUCUGAAGCUCUCCUCUUUGAGGUCCUGGCAGGCUCUGGCCCCUGUUGAGAAGGGGAAGCAGUCAUGUGAACUCAUGUGCUGGAAGAAUCCACUCUACCCCUUCCCUGGCUUCUCUGCUGCAAUUUUUGUCUUUAAACGUAUUUUCAGGUGAUUCCAGUUUGCAUACAUAAUUGAGAAAUAUAAGAUUUGGUCCCCAGUAGAGAGCCAGGUGAACUUAAGAAGGAGUCCAUCUAAGAAAAUUGCACAAUUAUCUAGUUUCACUUGGGUUUAGCUUUUAUGGCUUACUUGAUUUAGUAAUCAAAUGAUUUUCAAAUGAUUUUGAUCAGGUGACUCUUCGUAAACUAGAGAAUGAACUUGAGAGCCGAAUUAGCACAGUUUAAAAAUAAUCAUUUAGUUUUUGUUCUCUAUUGUGUAAAUUAUUGAGGUUUGACUGUCUUGGCUAAACUAAGGCUCAUCUAAUAUCUUUAUUUUUGAUAUCCUAAUUUCUUGCCAAUUAAUUGAAGGUAACAUACUAGCAGACCAGAUAACUACUUAUGCAAACCUCAGAUAACCACUAAUUUAAACAAAAUUAAAUCCUUUGCCUUCCCCAGAUCCUUUGCACAUGGCCUGCUAUCAACAAUCCUCUACAAUGAUUCUCAGCAUCACCUAGGGAGCUUAUGUAAAAUCUCAAAUUCCUGGGCCCUAUCCCCAGAGUUUCUUAUCAAGUCCACUCACAAAUCGCAGCUGGUAUGGACUGGUACUGCCCCAAAUAAGAGGAACCUAAGAGCUUGGCUCCAAGACCCCCCAC